rnacentral:rRNA from 1 species
AUGAACGCUGGCGGCGUGCCUAAUACAUGCAAGUCGAGCGAACAGACGAGGAGCUUGCUCCUCUGACGUUAGCGGCGGACGGGUGAGUAACACGUGGAUAACCUACCUAUAAGACUGGGAUAACUUCGGGAAACCGGAGCUAAUACCGGAUAAUAUAUUGAACCGCAUGGUUCAAUAGUGAAAGACGGUUUUGCUGUCACUUAUAGAUGGAUCCGCGCCGCAUUAGCUAGUUGGUAAGGUAACGGCUUACCAAGGCAACGAUGCGUAGCCGACCUGAGAGGGUGAUCGGCCACCCUGGAACUGAGACACGGUCCAGACUCCUACGGGAGGCAGCAGUAGGUAAUCUUCCGCAAUGGGCGAAAGCCUGACGGAGCAACGCCGCGUGAGUGAUGAAGGUCUUCGGAUCGUAAAACUCUGUUAUUAGGGAAGAACAAAUGUGUAAGUAACUAUGCACGUCUUGACGGUACCUAAUCAGAAAGCCACGGCUAACUACGUG